rnacentral:rRNA from 1 species
GUGAGGAAUAUUGGACAAUGGGCGCAAGCCUGAUCCAGCCAUGCCGCGUGCAGGAAGACGCAUCUAUGGUGUGUAAACUGCUUUUGUACGGGAAGAAACACUCCCUCGUGAGGGAGCUUGACGGUACCGUAAGAAUAAGGAUCGGCUAACUCCGUGCCAGCAGCCGCGGUAAUACGGAGGAUCCAAGCGUUAUCCGGAAUCAUUGGGUUUAAAGGGUCCGUAGGCGGCUUAAUAAGUCAGUGGUGAAAGCCCAUCGCUCAACGAUGGAACGGCCAUUGAUACUGUUAGACUUGAAUUACAAGGAAGUAACUAGAAUAUGUAGUGUAGCGGUGAAAUGCUUAGAUAUUACAUGGAAUACCAAUUGCGAAGGCAGGUUACUACUUGUGGAUUGACGCUGAUGGACGAAAGCGUGGGGAGCAAACAGGAUUAGAAACCCGUGUAGUCC